GCAGCGGGGGCUGCCGGGAGGACGCCGCGGAGACCUCAGGAGGCGAGAGAUGGUUGCUGGGCAACAGCCGAGAGUCUUGCUGGUUGGUCUGGCCAGUGGAAAACAGACAGUUUCCUUUUCCAAGGUAAAGAACUAUGGGAUGUCCAAGCAGCAUCUGGGGCCCUCAUGGUGACUAGUGACUGCUCUUGUGUUUCCUCAACACGUACCACAGAUGAGCUAUUUACCGGAAGACUCUGCACCCUCACUACAUGCCCAGGGAAACCACCGUCUCCCUCCGGUUCUGAUCCUGAGGAUUUCCCCUCUACCUGAGGGGAAGUACAACCUUCCAGUCCAGAGGUAAAGCCACAGGACUGAACAGUGGCCACAGGCAGUGCUCAAGUGGUCUGCUUUGCGGCUUCUCCUCACCUCGAUGAAUUCCAGCCGCUCUUGGCCUUCCUUCCCACUGAUGUAAACCCUAAUCACUCUUCCACAGCCCCUGCCAAACGUUCAUCAUCCAUCUACUGCGGUCAAACCAUAAUACUGGGACUUGCCACCACUUUAGGACUUGCUGGAAUGUCUAAAGAGACUCUCGAUCUAACCCACCAAUCAGCAGUCAUUACUGCUAACCAACAGAUGUCCCAAACUCAAGCGUCUUACUUUCCUACAGUACAAGAAAUACUAGGCCUGCUUUAUCCAGGCCAGAGAACCCUGGCAAAAAUGUUCUUUGGCAACAGAUUGGCCCUUGGUUAUUUAUUAGCUAAUCAAACAGACGUAACGUUACUAGUAUUUCCCGUUGUGUGUGGAUGAACAAUGCUGGACAAGCAGCCACUUCAGCGGAACGGCCGAGCUGCAAAAUCUCCAUCAUAAAAAACACGACCCACACCUUCAGGUACUAGGAUUCAACCGAAGUAUUAGUAGGUGCCCCUGUCUGAACUGAUUAAUUCUCUGGGUUAACACCAAACAGUGGGGAGCCUGGCUAUAAGCCAGGGACUCCUCAUGCUUGUGCUUGCUUCCUUCCUCUCUAAUGUCAUAAUAAAAUGUUUUCUGUGCUGUUUAGGGCAGCUUAUACCCUGUUUUCUGGAAGUCUUUAUCAUCCAGGACACAAAUACUGAUGUCAAGUUUUGAUCUCGAAACUGAUAUCAAGGCAUCAAAAGGCCAGUUGUAAUAUAAUUUUCUUCAAAGUGCUGUCUCAACACAGUUUGGAGACGCUGCCCAGAGUGCUGUCCGUUUCCCUUCUGGAGCAGCUGAUUAGGACCAUAUCCCAGCCACUGCCCUUAGCCAGCUCUCACACUCUGGGGCCACCCUAUUCCAGACCUUGUCCUCUGGGCUGGGUACCCAACAAACGGGGACAACCUCUAUGCCCCCGGAGCCCAUGAGGUUAUUCACACUGGCCGAUCCCAGGGAGCCUGCGAUACCUCGCUAACCCCACACCCUCUUUGCCACACUUAAGCUGCCUCCUUCCCUUCCCACUUACCGUUACCCUCUGCCCAGGUACAACCCCCUGCGUGGCCCUGCAUGGCAGCUGUCUCCCUUGGAGCAGUGAGGAA